rnacentral:rRNA from 1 species
UACGAAGGGUGCAAGCGUUACUCGGAAUUACUGGGCGUAAAGCGUGCGUAGGUGGUUCGUUAAGUCUGUUGUGAAAGCCCUGGGCUCAACCUUGGAAUGGCAUUGGAAACUGGCGGGCUAGAGGCCGGUAGAGGGUAGUGGAAUUCCCGGUGUAGCAGUGAAAUGCGUAGAUAUCGGGAGGAACAUCCGUGGCGAAGGCGACUGCCUGGACCAGCACUGACACUGAGGCACGAAAGCGUGGGGAGCAAACAGG